CACAUGCAGUCGAACGGUCUCUUCGGAGGCAGUGGCAGACGGGUGAGUAACGCGUGGGAACAUACCUUUCGGUACGGAACAACAGUUGGAAACGACUGCUAAUACCGUAUACGCCCUGAGGGGGAAAGAUUUAUCGCCGAGAGAUUGGCCCGCGUUGGAUUAGCUAGUUGGUGGGGUAAUGGCCUACCAAGGCGACGAUCCAUAGCUGGUCUGAGAGGAUGAUCAGCCACACUGGGACUGAGACACGGCCCAGACUCCUACGGGAGGCAGCAGUGGGGAAUAUUGGACAAUGGGCGCAAGCCUGAUCCAGCCAUGCCGCGUGAGUGAUGAAGGCCUUAGGGUUGUAAAGCUCUUUCGCCGGUGAAGAUAAUGACGGUAACCGGUAAAGAAGCCCCGGCUAACUUCGUGCCACCAUCCGCGGGAGGAGGAAGGGGGCUAGCGUUGAUCGGAAUUACUGGGCGUAAAGCGCACGUAGGCUGACUUUUAAGUCAGGGGUGAAAUCCCGGGGCUCAACCUCGGAACUGCCUUUGAUACUGGAAGUCUUGAUUCCGAGAGAGGUGAUUGGAACUCCGAGUGUACAGGUGAAAUUCGUAUAUAUUCGGAAGAACACCAGUGGCGAAGGGGGUUCUCUGGCUCGGUACUGACGCUGAGGUGCCAA
rnacentral:rRNA from 1 species